UGGGGGAUAUUGCACAAUGGGCGAAAGCCUGAUGCAGCGACGCCGCGUGGGGGAUGAAGGCCUUCGGGUUGUAAACUUCUUUUGCUCUGAACAAGGCAUGCUAAUGGGUGUGUUGAGUGUAGGGGUUGAUUAGCGCCGGCUAACUACGUGCCAGCAGCCGCGGUAAUACGUAGGGCGCGAGCGUUGUCCGGAAUUAUUGGGCGUAAAGGGCUUGUAGGUGGCUGGUUGCGUCUAUCGUGAAAGCUCAUGGCUUAACUGUGGGUUUGCGGUGGGUACGGGCUGGCUUGAGUGCAGUAGGGGAGGCUGGAAUUCCUGGUGUAGCGGUGGAAUGCGCAGAUAUCAGGAGGAAUACCGGUGGCGAAGGCGGGUCUCUGGGCUGUUACUGACACUGAGGAGCGAAAGCAUGGGGAGCGAACAGG
rnacentral:rRNA from 1 species